AUUGUCUGACUUUAGCAUCGAGCUAGUCGUGAAGACAGGUGAGUUGGUUUGUCUAUAUUGUCUGACUUUAGCAUCGAGCUAGUCGUGAAGACAGGUGAGUUGGUUUGUCUAUAAUGUCUGACUUUAGCAUCGAGCUAGUCGUGAAGACAGGUGAGUUGGUUUGUCUAUAUUGUCUGACUUUAGCAUCGAGCUAGUCGUGAAGACAGGUGAGUUGGUUUGUCUAUAUUGUCUGACUUUAGCAUCGAGCUAGUCGUGAAGACAGGUGAGUUGGUUUGUCUAUAAUGUCUGACUUUAGCAUCGAGCUAGUCGUGAAGACAGGUGAGUUGGUUUGUCUAUAUUGUCUGACUUUAGCAUCGAGCUAGUCGUGAAGACAGGUGAGUUGGUUUGUCUAUAAUGUCUGACUUUAGCAUCGAGCUAGUCGUGAAGACAGGUGAGUUGGUUUGUCUAUAUUGUCUGACUUUAGCAUCGAGCUAGUCGUGAAGACAGGUGAGUUGGUUUGUCUAUAUUGUCUGACUUUAGCAUCGAGCUAGUCGUGAAGACAGGUGAGUUGGUUUGUCUAUAAUGUCUGACUUUAGCAUCGAGCUAGUCGUGAAGACAGGUGAGUUGGUUUGUCUAUAAUGUCUGACUUUAGCAUCGAGCUAGUCGUGAAGACAGGUGAGUUGGUUUGUCUAUAUUGUCUGACUUUAGCAUCGAGCUAGUCGUGAAGACAGGUGAGUUGGUUUGUCUAUAAUGUCUGACUUUAGCAUCGAGCUAGUCGUGAAGACAGGUGAGUUGGUUUGUCUAUAUUGUCUGACUUUAGCAUCGAGCUAGUCGUGAAGACAGGUGAGUUGGUUUGUCUGACUUUAGCAUCGAGCUAGUCGUGAAGACAGGUGAGUUGGUUUGUCUGACUUUAGCAUCGAGCUAGUCGUGAAGACAGGUGACAUUGUUUCUGUUUGUGUGUAUUUGCAUCUUCUCAUGGGGAGUUUGGUAUUUUUCUGUGUCUUUAGAUCCCAUCACUUCCUUACCGACGAACAGGUGGGCUCAGUCAGGUCUUCCUGAGGGACAUGUUGUUGUCCUCGUCUGCUCUGUGUUGGUCAGCACCUGGGGAUGAAUAGCACAAAUACUGUGAAAAUAAAGAACCGAUUGAGAUUACAUUUUUUUAUAUAAAUAUUGUAAUUAGAAAUAAAGAAUAUACGCUUCAUUAACGUUGUAUUCUGAAAUAUUAACUGUUCAUUAAAUAGUAGUGGUGUGUGUGUGUGUGUGUGUGUGUG
rnacentral:lncRNA from 1 species